rnacentral:rRNA from 1 species
UACGGGGGGUGCGAGCGUUGUCCGGAUUCACUGGGCGUAGAGGGCGCGUAGGCGGCCGAAUCAGUCCGGCUUUUAAGAGCGGGGCUCACCCCCGUGGGGGGCCGGGGACGGUUCGGCUGGGGCGCGGCAGAGGGGUGCGGAAUGCCGGGUGUAGUGGUGAAAUGCGUAGAGAUCCGGCGGAACACCGGUGGGGAAGCCGGCACCCUGGGCCGAGGCCGACGCUGAGGCGCGAGAGCGCGGGGAGCGAACCGG